rnacentral:misc_RNA from 1 species
CUCCAUAUUCCUACGAUUUCUCUGCCCCGCCAUCUUAUCACCUAGUCUCUUUAAUCUCAUCCAAGAAUUCCCUCCAGAAAAAGCUGCCAGAAAUUUGACCCUCAUUGCCAAAACCAUCCAGACUCUUGCCAACAGUACCAAAUUUGGUGGGAAAGAAGAGUACAUGGAGUUCAUGAAUGAUUUCAUUGAGAAGCAUGACGGGAGCAUGAAAGAUUUCCUGGAUCAAAUCUCGGGUGAUAGCAAUGGUAACCAUUUACUGGACUACGAUGGUUAUAUAGAUCUGGGCAAGGAGCUCUCUCUUCUUCAUAUUCUGCUCACAGAAAACUUGGAGAAGGCCAAUCAAGAUGCGAAGAUGAAACUUGGUCAAUUACCCAGCAUUCUUAGUAAGAUCACCUCAUCCAUAGAUGAUCCUGAAGUCGGUAAAAGUGUUAAAGUGCCAAACAAGAGGAAAUCUCAGAUAUAUGACAAUGUCAGUGGAAGCAUUCAGACUGGCUCCUCCCCCACAGAAAUUGUGCGCAACAUGUUGCGUCAGUUCGGUGAAGAUGAUGACAUCCCCGUCCUGGGAGCGCGACAUUCGCGUCAGGGGAGUCACUUCAGCAGCGGGCAGAGCACGAUGAGUGAUUAUAAUGACAAUGAUGACGAGUAUGUGAUAAUCAAGCGUGUGCACGGUCACACGGACAAUGUGUCCAACGUCUCGGCCAACUCCCAGACGAUCACCAGUCACCACAGUGUAAAUCAGAAAUGGAACGAUAUCGUGAACGCAGCUGAAGGGAGUUCAGGCGAUUACAUUGACCUCAUGUCGCUCUUGAAUGACGACUAUCAAAACUCAUCCAUGGAGCUGGAGCAUGAUAUCAACGGAAGUCAGAUGUCGAUUAGUCAGGUGUCCAAUGUGACGUCUGGGUACCAGUCGUAUGGCUACAGCCAAUCAAGUUCUCCCGUCGAUUCGUCCAAUAAUGUGGAUGGAAGCACCAGACCUUCCCAAUCCAACAGUCUUCAGCCACUGUCUUUCUCCAAUCCCAUGUACCGAUACAAACACAUGGCAUCCUCAUCCUACAGUAGUUCUAGUCAGUGUGUAACUCCCUCCCCUGGGACCCAGGGGUCGGCCAGCUCGGGGUCCCUAAGCAGUGAGGAGGAUGCCAGUGUUGUACGGAGUAGAAAUCCCAAACCGUGUCGUCCAAACGCGUGUGAUAUUCCCUGUGAUCCGUUACGGAACCUUGCACCCAAACUCUCGAGUUCCAGCAGCUCUGAAUCUCUCAAUGAAGUGGAGAGACACAGAAUGUACUCAAAUGGCAGAGACUCUUCUCACAAAAAAGAGCCUGACUUUCACAGUUCGUGUCCCUCUAAUAUGUUUGACGAUUUACACAACAGCAAUUAUGAAAAUACUCAAGGAUACUCAUUAAGUCGUGCCCCUACUCGCCCCAGUGAACUUUCUCAUACAGGAAGCAUGGACUUCUCACAGUUACGGCAAUAUAAUCGCUACGGUGAUGGUUUAAGGCGGACUGCCACCGACUCCGUCAUCUCAAAGUCUUGCAGUUCUAGUCACAGUGACGGUCAAGGGUCGACGGAAGAUAGUCCAGCACAUCGCCGACUCUCUCCUCAAAACGCUGUUCAUAUGGGAAUCCGUUCAGUGCAAAGAAAAAUAAGUGAGCAAGAAAAAACAAAACAAGAGUACGAACAGGAAGUGACCUUGCUAAAACAGCAAUUGUACGAGGCCCAGCAGAGGUUACAGAAUGCGGAGGAAAAGCUGUACAAACACGAGGCCGAUUCUCACGAAGUGAUGGAGGAUUGGCAGUUUCGAUUGGAGGAGAGCGAAGAGCGAAUGCGUCGACAGCAAGCAGAAAAAGACGACCAAAUGAAGAAUAUUAUCACAAGGUUGGUUAAUGGUGUGCCCCAUUCCGAUCUCAACUAACCGAGUCCGACGGCAGUAACAGCCUGGGUGUUGGUUGAUGAAUGUUGAAGAUGAGCUUCGCCAUGACCAAGAAGAAAUGCAGAGCAUUGUGAAACAGAAGCAAAAGGUGAUUGAAGCCCAGGAGAGGCGCAUUAAAACUUUGGACAAUGCAAAUGCCAAACUGAUGUCCGCUCUUCAUCAGCUUCGAAGUGUCUCGCAGACCAAUAACAAUUCUAUGUUGGGACCACUGCGAUCAACCCUCAUCUCGCCUGAUGUGGCAGAGUUCAAAACGAGCUCCUGCUGAAAAUUUCUGUGGCUUUAAAAAAUUAUGUUCAAUCAUGGUCGCUCCCAUGUGAUUACUUGUGAUGUGCAUUGGUGCUUUUGUGACUCGAUGUGAAUAUUAUGAUUAUUAUUAUUAUUAAUAUGUGUUGAACAAAUGGCAUAUAAGACAGAGAGUGUGUUGAAUUGCUGUAGUUACAUAUAGUGCUCACUGUUUACAGGAAUAUGGUAUUCCUGUAAAUGCUGUUUACUGUAAUAUUCCUGUAAACAUGAUGAAGAUGAUGAAUCUAGCUGUGAUGAGAAGUGAAAAAGGUUGUGUAUUUUGGUGUAUUUAGAUAUGGUCCAAGGGACAUUACUCUAGUUUGUACAGAAAUCCAAAAAAAAUUAUUUGUGCAAUAUAUUUUGUGUGGAAUAUAUUAUUUCAUACCAGUAGAUUGUAUGGAUGUAAUUUGUAUGGUACGUAUAGGAAAAAAUAUUGUGAUGUGAAUUAGUGCAUAAGUAUUUUUUUGUAUAGAUUGACACAAGUCAAAAAAAUUGCAAUUUUGUGUUUGCCAAAUGAAAAAAUAUAUGCACUUGGAACUAGUUGCUUUAAAUAUAUAGAGGCAGGGAUAAUUUAAUUGGUGCAAUGUUAAUUUUCUUUUACAGUAUUAUUAUUCAGUGAUGUAAACAAGAAGUUUUCAUCAAUAUUGCAAAAUAUUCUGUUAAAUAUCUCCAUGAAGUCAAGAUUGUAAUCGGUGAUUAAUAAUUUUUUUUCACUGCCAUUCUUUAAUUUUAAUGUUUUUUAAAGUCAGCCUUAAAAAAAAUUUGCCUGCAUUUAUAUUUAGCUCUGUCCGAAUAUCAUACGUCAUUGUUGACAGCUGAUACUUGUAGAGAAUGUUAUCACACGAAUCGCAAUUUCUCAAAUUUGAAAUAUGAAUUUUUUAAUUUAAAAAGAAAAUGUCUCUAUCUUUAAUGUCCAGUAUGUAAUUCUGACUGGAAAAGGGACAAGCAUUAGGAAGACAGUCAGAAAUUAUUGUUCCAUUUCUUUUUUCUCAGUACAACAGAGUAUUUAAUAUUGGAAAAAAAAUACAUCGGUUAGAAAAAAAUAUCAGAUGUGGUAAUACAACUGAACUCUGAAAAAGUAAUAAAAGUAUGAAAAUUC